rnacentral:rRNA from 1 species
UGCCUAUACAUGCAAGUCGAGCGAAUGGAUUAAGAGCUUGCUCUUAUGAAGUUAGCGGCGGACGGGUGAGUAACACGUGGGUAACCUGCCCAUAAGACUGGGAUAACUCCGGGAAACCGGGGCUAAUACCGGAUAACAUUUUGAACCGCAUGGUUCGAAAUUGAAAGGCGGCUUCGGCUGUCACUUAUGGAUGGACCCGCGUCGCAUUAGCUAGUUGGUGAGGUAACGGCUCACCAAGGCAACGAUGCGUAGCCGACCUGAGAGGGUGAUCGGCCACACUGGGACUGAGACACGGCCCAGACUCCUACGGGAGGCAGCAGUAGGGAAUCUUCCGCAAUGGACGAAAGUCUGACGGAGCAACGCCGCGUGAGUGAUGAAGGCUUUCGGGUCGUAAAACUCUGUUGUUAGGGAAGAACAAGUGCUAGUUGAAUAAGCUGGCACCUUGACGGUACCUAACCAGAAAGCCACGGCUAACUACGUGCCAGCAGCCGCGGUAAUACGUAGGUGGCAAGCGUUAUCCGGAAUUAUUGGGCGUAAAGCGCGCGCAGGUGGUUUCUUAAGUCUGAUGUGAAAGCCCACGGCUCAACCGUGGAGGGUCAUUGGAAACUGGGAGACUUGAGUGCAGAAGAGGAAAGUGGAAUUCCAUGUGUAGCGGUGAAAUGCGUAGAGAUAUGGAGGAACACCAGUGGCGAAGGCGACUUUCUGGUCUGUAACUGACACUGAGGCGCGAAAGCGUG